rnacentral:lncRNA from 1 species
GCUGAUUCUAGGCCAACCUCUUAGCGAAGCACCUUUCACACACUACCUCUACUUAUCACAACAUCCUAAGACAGGCUUGUUUCAUCAACUCCUGUUUUACACCUGAGAAAACUGAGGCUUGACGGAGACAGAAGAUUUCUCUAUGGUGUUCUGGCUGGUAAAUGCUGGAGCGAGCAUUAGAUCCAGACAGCCAGGUGCCCAGUGUCAUUGAACCCAAGAGUCUUGCUGCUGCCAGGAAGAGCACUUGCUGAGAGGUUGGCUGCAAAUACGAUCUACAGCAUGAAUCCUGAAUCUCAGACCGCUGUUGGAGUCUAUUACCCACUAUAUUAUUUCCCUGCCAAGAGGACAAGUUAAGCGGAUACAGCAUGAGAGAGAAAGCCAAACAGACCAAUAAGUCAAGGUAAAAAGAGAAGGAAAAAACUAAUGGGAAGAAGCUGGAGGAAGGAUUAGAAGCAGAACAAGCAGCAGCUCAUAAAGAAGCUUGUGAAUUGACCACGACACAUGCAACGAAGGUGACAGAGUGAGUGAGAAAGUACCCCAUGAACACCCAGCACUUGCCCAGCAUUGUCGGUCUCAGUCUCCAUGUCACCGUCACCAAUUCCUGGUGCCCUGGAAAGCAGAGGCUUCAGGUCCCAGACUUAACACCAAGAGGAGGCCUAGAAGAGAGCUUUGGAACUAUAGCCAAUUUCAACAUCCACUCACUCCCUCUAAGAUCUGUCUUGGUAGGCUGCAGGCUGCUCAUCAGAGCUGAUGUUGACAGCUCAGGCUCUAGGCUCCUGGACACCGCUAAGUUUUGGUGCCUUGCUUCCUGGGUCCCCACUCAUCCCUAAGGACGUGCGAGUUGGCAGUAAUGGAACAAAGCUGUGCAGAUCUAGGGGCAAAGUCAAAUCUUAGCCAGGUGAAUUACCAGCCCCUACCUACCGCCUAGCAUGCUCUGGCAGGUUAGGAUGAGGAGACUGUAUCGCAGUCCAUUGCUAAGUUUCUUCAACUAAAUUAAACAGAGACUGGGGAUGGUACAGAUUUAAGAACAUCAAAACCAAACCAUCACACCAAGGAAGCAGGAAACAGCCAGAAGGCCAGAAUUACAAACGUGGAUGUUAGAAUUCAUCAGAAGCCAAAAGAACAAUAAAGAAUGAGGUCAGGAAUGCUGAAGAUCCAAGUUGGUGUUCCUAGAGAGGAAAGAAUUAGGAGCAGUCACUAAGGAUCUAGCUUCUUACACAGAUGGGAGACUAUGGAGACAGAACUCCAACAAGAAUAGUUCCUGUGUCUCGAAAGGACCUGGCUGCAUCUGCUGAAGUCUCCUACACUUGAUUCUUCCUCAUGAGUUUACUCCAUGGGCCAUUCAAUCUGCUUGUUUUCCCACACAACUGGGUCAGAGUGGAUAUUUACUACAUUUGCUUCUGGAACACCCACAGGCCGCAUCUGGCACAUAGCCCCCAUCGACAUGUAAUAAACUAAUGACCCAAAGCAAGAGGACAGCCUUCUGUGAAGCUCCAGUGGACAUGGCCAUGUGGACAAAGAAGGGCCAUCAGAUGAGUCUUUGGCCUAAUGAGACAUACAUUUGAUGAGGGUCACCUCUAGGAAGGGCAAGGGAAAAUAUGGGACCGGGGCAUCCAAAAGACUUUUAAUUUUAUCUAUGAUGCUUUAUUUUAUUUAAAAAAAUAAAAUUGGGGGUUUAAAAUGUAAUUAUAAAUUUUGUGUGGUGGAAAUAAAUUGUUAUAUAAUGCCCCAUGCUUUUCUAUAUUUUUUUAAUUUAUCAAAAUAAAAAGAAGCAGCAAAAAAAAUGAGGAGAGGAAGGGAGGGAGGACAAAG